GCCCAGGUGGCUCAAUUGGUUAGAGUGUCAUCCUGUACACCAAAAGGUUUUGGGUUUGAUUCCCAGUCGGGGCA
rnacentral:tRNA from 1 species